AUUGAACGCUGGCGGCAGGCCUAAAACAUGCAAGUCGGGCGGAGCGGAGGACGGGUGAGUAAUGUCUGGGGAGCUGCCUGAUGGAGGGGGAUAACUACUGGAAACGGUAGCUAAUACCGCAUACCAUCAGAUGGAACCAUAUGGGAUUAGCUUGUAGGUGAGGUAACGGCUCACCAAGGCGACGAUCCGUAACUGGUCUGAGAGGAUGAUCAGUCACACUGGAACUGAGACACGGUCCAGACUCCUACGGGAGGCAGCAGUGGGGAAUAUUGGACAAUGGGCGAAAGCCUGAUCCAGCCAUGCCGCGUGUGUGAAGAAGGUCUUCGGAUUGUAAAGCACUUUAAGUUGGGAGGCGUUACCAACAGAAUAAGCACCGGCUAACUUCGUGCCAGCAGCCGCGGUAAUAC
rnacentral:rRNA from 1 species